ensembl:lncRNA
CAGAAAACAUUUUUCAACCAGCGAUUGAGUUGUGAGACACUGCUGUAGAGCUCAUCACUCCCCCUAACUGGAAGGGGGCCAGUGACAAUUACUCGAUACCGACACAUCUUUCUAGCUGAUUUACACGCUGAAGCUAUGUUGCGCUUGGUGACCUCUGACUGUUUCAUCCUAACAUCGUUGGUGCCGACGUGGAUAACAAUAUCUCUAUACUCUCUACACUCGCCAGUUUUAGCUUUAGCCAGCACCAUCUUCAGAUUAGCCUUAACCUCGGAAGCCCUGCCCCCUGGUAAACAGUGUAUGAUUGCUGGAUGAUUUUUUUAAAAGUCUAAUACUGCGGGUAAUGGAGUCGCCAAUGGCUAGGGUUUUCAAUUUGUCAGAGCUAAUGGUGGGAAGCUUGGGCGUCUCAGACCCCGUAACGGGAGGAGUAGAGACAAGAGAAGGCUCGGCCUCAGACUCCAACGCUGCAUAAUGGGGAAAACCGGUUGAAAGUUUCUGUCGGCUGAAUGAGCGAGAAACCAUGAGAAAGUUGUCCGGCUGCGGGGACCGUGCGAUGGGAUUUAUACUAACGUCACUAUCUGUAUUUACUGGUGGCACAGACGCUGUUUCAUCCUUUGCUACACUGACAUUACCCUUACCUAACGAUUGCGUCUGAAGCUGGGCUUGUAGCACAGCUAUCCUCGCCAUAAGGCGCUCGUUCUCCUGUAUAUUAUGAGUACAGCGACUGCAAUUAGAAGGCAUCAUGUUACCACUUAGCUUCGGUUGUUGGAGGUCCUGACGAACCAUGUCCAGUUAAAGCGUCCGAAGUGAAAAGUUGAAUGAAAAAAAGUUGAGUGAGGGAAAAGCCAAAAAUAUAAAUGGUAAUUAAAAAGUAAAAAUCGUAAAGUUGUCAGGUAGCAAAGUAAGAUUGCCAACAAAACGCACAAAACAAACAGCAACACGUAAACAAGUCUGCAAGUUGUUAAACAUUUUACUUGACCUUGUUUCAAUGUUAAUAGUAAAAUGGUAUGUUUGAAUAAAAUGUGAAGCCACAGUCCAACAAUUCCUGCCAGAACAUUGACUACUCCUGGUAUAUGAAGGCUAAUGCCUUUCAGUAAGAACAAGUCUACCAUCCAGAUGCCUACCUCAAUGUCCCUGCUUAGAUUUGGAAACAAACUGGUCGAUUCAGCUGAGCUAUCAUGCCAACACAUUUAGAUUUGCUGUGAUUUUGAGAUUUUCUCCAUUGCCAAGAUAAUCCAUUGUGGCCUUUCAAGAAGCUGAUUAAACAGCAUGAUCAUUACAUGGGUGCACCUUGUGGCAGGGACAUUAAAAGGCCAUAAUGUCACAGAUGUCCCUAAGUUUUGAGGAAGCAUACAAGUGGCAUGCUGACUGCAGGAAUGUCCACUAGAGCUGUUGCCAGAGAAUUUAAGGUUAAUUUCUCUACCACAGCCCAGGACCUCCACAUCCGGCUUCCUCACCUGCAGGAUCCUCUGAGACCAGCCACCCAGACAGCUGAUGAAACUGGGGGUUUGCACAGCUGAAAAUUUCUGCACAAAUUGUCAGAAACCGCCUCAGGGAAACUCAUCUACGUCCUCACCAGGGUCUUGACCCUACGGCAGUUUGGUGAUGUAAUCAACUUCAGUGGGCAAAUGCUCACCUUCGAUGGCCAUUGGCACGCUGGAGAAGUAUGUUCUUCACAGAGGAAUACUUGUUUCAACUGUACUGGGCAGAUGGCAGACAGUGUGUAUGGCGUCGUGUGGAUGAGCGGUUUGCUAAUGUCAAUGUAGUGAACAGAGUGCCCCAUGGUGGGGUUAUGGUAUGGGCAGGCAUAAGCUACGGACAACAAACAGUUGUAUUAUAUUAAUGUAAAUUUGAAUGCACAGAGAUACCGUGACGAGUUCCCGAGGCUCAUUGUCAUGCCAUUCAUCUGCCGCCAUCACCUCAUGUUUCAGCAUGAUAAUGCACUGCCCCAUGUCGCAAGGAUCUGUACACAAUUCCUAGAAGCUGAAAAUGUCCCAGUUCUGGGCCUCCCGGGUGACGCAGUGGUUAAGGGUGCUGUACUGCAGCGCCAGCUGUGCCACCAGAGACUCUGGGUUCGCGCCCAGGCUAUGUCGUAACCGGCCGCGACCGGGAGGUCCGUGAGGCGAUGCACAAUUGGCCUAGCGUCGUCCGGGUUAGGGAGGGUUUGGCCGGUAGGGAUAUCCUUGUCUCAUCGCGCACCAGCAACUCCUGUGGCGGGCCGGGCGCAGUGCACGCUAACCAAGGUUGCCAGGUGCACUGUGUUUCCUCCGACACAUUGGUGCGGCUGGCUUCCGGGUUGGAUGCGUGCUGUGUUAAGAAGCAGUGCGGCUUGGUUGGGUUGUGUAUCGGAGGACACAUGACUUUCAACCUUCGUCUCUCCCCAGCCCGUACGGGAGUUGUAGCGAUGAGACAAGAUAGUAGCUACUAACAAUUGGAUUCCACGAAAUUGGGGAGAAAAAGGGGUCAAAUUAAAAUAGAAUUUAAAAUUUAAAAUUUCCUAGUUCUUCCAUGGCCUGCAUACUCACCAGACAUGUCAUCCAUUGAGCUAGUUUGGGAUGCUCUGGAUCGACGUGUACGACAUUGGGUUCCAGUUCCCGCCAAUACCCAGCAACUUCGCACAGCCUUUGAAGAGGAGUGGAACAGCAUUCCACAGGCCACAAUGAACAGUCUGAUCAACUCAAUGCAAAGGAGAUGUGUUGCGCUGCAUGAGGCAAAUGGUGGUCACACCAGAUACUGACUGGUUUUCUGAUCCACAACCCUAACUUUAAAAAAAGGUAUGUCCUUCCCAGUCAUUUGGAAUCCGUAGAUCAGGGCCUAAUGAAUUUAUUUCAAUUGACUGAUUUCCUUAUGAACUGUAACCCAGUAAAAUCUUUGCAAUUGUUGCAUGUUGAAUUUAUAUUUUUGUUCAGUGUUUUUUAUAUAUAUAUAUAUUUACAUACAGUGGGGAGAACAUACAGUGGGGUACACUUCAAAUGUGAGAGACGGAAUCUAAAACAAAAAUCCAGAAAAUCACAUUGUAUGAUUUUUAAGUAAUUAAUUUGCAUUUGGUACAGAAACCUUUGUUUGCAAUUACAGAGAUCAUACGUUUCCUGUAGUUCUUGACCAGGUUUGCACACACUGCAGCAGGGAUUGGCAACGCCGUUUUGCAGAUACCCAGCUGGGGCCUGCCCGCUGACACAGGUGGUUUGCUUUGGCCUCCUGGCCCCUGCUCCCCCAUCUUCCAGUAAUCCGACCAGAUCCCAACAUCAUGCCACAGCCAACCCCAUCUCAUGUCCCGCCUGGAGAACCUCCUGGAGAGGGUACGCUGCUCCACGGCUGCAGCCCAGAACCACUGAAAAGAGAAAGAGGGCCCGUCCCUCCAGAAGGUCCCCUGGGAUGAGAUGCCAUUAUGGAGGAUGGAGAGGUCCUGGUCUACUUCCCCAAGGAGGGACUGAAGAACUUCCAGCCCCCUGCAGAGUGGACAGAGGAGGUCAGACUCACACACCAGGAGAAGCAGCAGGAGACGCAGGGAGCCAGUCCAGGAAGACUUGCAGCUCUCUCUCGGCCGGAUCCCCCCACACCCUGCCCCACCUUCGACUUCACACACACCCCCUCGCCCCAGAAGGUCCUCCACAGUCUUCAGGAUGAGAGGGCCCACAGCCAGGGGUGGGAGGAGCAGCUGCAGCGCUGGCUAGAAGUGGCUAACUCUCCAUGACUAACUGCAUGUCCCCCAACGGUACUGCUGCUGCACAGGUACAAUGUUAAGAUGGCGCUAAAGAGGAUGGCUGACAUUUUACAUUUACCUAACCAACUGUGCUAUUUUUUUAUAUAUUUUUUGCGUUGUUUGUACAUAAUGUUGCUGCUACUGUCUCUUAUGACCAAAAAUAACUUCUGGGCAUCAGAACAGCAAUUACUCACCACGCACUGGAAGAAGCUUUUUCCUUUAACGAGUCCGAUGAGAAGGAUACACUGCUUUCCCGGGAACAGGCCCAAAACCCUGUCAUUUGAGGGGGCGGCAGGUAGAGCGUUGGACCAGUAACCGAAAGGUUGCUAGAUUGAAUCCCUGAGCUGACAAGGAAGUACCAGUGACUCGCUCAAUACGGAAGUGGUCAGAUGACGCAGAUGCUAUGCUACAGGACUGUUUUGCUAGCACAGACUGGAAUAUGUUCCGGGAUUCAUCCGAUGACAUCGAGGAGUACACCACCUUAGUCAUCGGCUUCAUCAAUAAGUACAUCGACGACGUCAUCCCCACAGUGACCGUACGUUCAUAUCCCAACCAGCAGCCAUGGAUUACAGGCAACAUCCGCAUUGACCUAAAGGCUAGAGCUGCCGCUUUCAAGGAGGGAGACACUAAUCCGGACUCUUAUAAGAAAUCCUGCUAUGCCCCCAGACGAACAAUCAAACAAGCAAAGCGUCAAUACGGGACUAAGAUUGAAUCCUACUACACUGGCCCUGAUGCUCGUCCGAUGUGGCAGGGCUUGAAAACUAUUACGGACUACAAAGGGAAACCCAGAUGCGAGCUGCCCAGUGACGCGAGCCUACCUACCAGACGAACUAAAUGCCUUUUUAAGCUCGCUUCGAGGCAAGCAACACUGAAGCAUCCACGAGAGUACCAGCUGUUCUGGAUGACUAUGUAAUAACGCUCUCGGUAGCCGAUGUGAGCAAGACCUAAAGGUCAACAUUCACAAAGCCGCAGGGCCAGACGGAUUACCAGGACGUCUACUCAAAGCAUGCGUGGACCAACUGGCAGGUGUCUUCACUGACAUUUUCAACCUCUCCCUGACCAAGUCUGUAAUACCUACAUGUUUCAAGCAGACCACCAUAGUCCCUGUGCCCAAGGAAGCGUCGGUACCUACUCACGUAGGUAGGCAUUACGUGCUUUGAAAAUGCAGGGGACCAGUGGAUCACAGCUAUGGGACACAGCUUUUGCAGUACAGGCCUUUCUAGAGGUGAUAUGUUGAUAUUACGGCAGGGGAUCAGGACAGCUCAGUUUAGAAGAGUGCCUUAAACACGCCCACAAGUUCCUAACCAUCACACAGAGGGCCUGUGACUUCCUGAUGGCCCUCCAGAUGAAGGACAGGGGGCUGGGGGUGAGGACUUUGAGUCCUGUGAGCAACGUCGCUAUGUCCAGAGCGCUAACUCCCAGAGCAGGCCAACACCUGCUUGGCCUCAUGGCUGCCAGGUAACUGCCUAUGUAACUGCCUUGUAACAACCUAUGUUACUGCCUUGUAACUACCUAUGUGACUGCCUUGUGACUACCUAUGUGACUGCAUUGUAACUACCUAUGUGACUGCAUUGUUACCACCUUGUAACUACCUAUGUGACUCCAACUAAACUUCCUGUAGACGGGUUGGAUGUUUAGCAACAAAACCUAACGCUUGCUUAACUAUGGGGCAAAAGAUUUUAGAUUGAUUUAGGUUGAUUUAGAUUGUGAACAACAUGUAUACAAAAUUGUGUGUCCAUUGUUUAUUGAAAACAUGAAUAAAUGUGUACAAUGAGCACCUAUCUCUCAACUACAUUGUUACAGUUGUUGGUUAGAUAGCUAACACAUUUUUGCCAUAUUAGCAUAGAUGUGACAUCAGUCCAUACACCUCAAACCAAGACAUGGUAUGAAGAACAAGAUGAAAAUAGCUGAAAAGACCCACCUACAAUUCCCCAAAUGGCAGCUUCUUGUCAUCAAGAAUCACAACAACACACCGACUUCUGCCCCAUUGAAGCAUGCACAUGGUUUUCGUGACGUUGUCAGCUAACUCGUCUAUGUAAAUACACCAUAAAAUUUGAUAAAUAAAAC